UACGUAGGUCCCGAGCGUUGUCCGGAUUUAUUGGGCGUAAAGCGAGCGCAGGCGGUUUAUUAAGUCUGGUGUAAAAGGCAGUGGCUCAACCAUUGUAUGCAUUGGAAACUGGUAGACUUGAGUGCAGGAGAGGAGAGUGGAACUCCAUGUGUAGCGGUGAAAUGCGUAGAUAUAUGGAGGAACACCGGUGGCGAAAGCGGCUCUCUGGCCUGUAACUGACACUGAGGCUCGAAAGCGUGGGGAACAAACAGG
rnacentral:rRNA from 1 species